AAUGAACGCUGGCGGCAGGCCUAACACAUGCAAGUCGAACGGGUCCUUCGGGACUAGUGGCGGACGGGUGAGUAACGCGUGGAACAUACCCUUUGGUACGGAAUAGCCUCGGAAACUGGGAGUAAUACCGUAUGUGGUCGAGAGACGAAAGAUUUAUCGCCAAAGGAUUGGCCCGCGUUGGAUUAGGUAGUUGGUGGGGUAAUGGCCUACCAAGCCGACGAUCCAUAGCUGGUUUGAGAGGAUGAUCAGCCACACUGGGACUGAGACACGGCCCAGACUCCUACGGAGGCAGCAGUGGGGAAUCUUAGACAAUGGGGGAAACCCUGAUCUAGCCAUGCCGCGUGAUCGAUGAAGG
rnacentral:rRNA from 1 species